UAAUCAUUUUGAUCUUCAUUCCUGUUCUUGCGGUGACGCGUGGCAUAUCUUCUGUACUUUUGGUACCAUUUAACACAGAUUGUCGAUCCCCUGCGAAUGUGCCGCGAUGUUUCACAUCAAACUUUACGCCUUCUGAGGUCCGAAUUGUACGGAGAUUUUCGCCACCGCAACCGGUUGUGCAUGAUAGACGAUACGUUAAAAAGACAAAAAGUGAGAAGGAAAGGCCGAAGAGGAGGAGAUCAGUUACCUUUUCACGGUAGACGACAUCAAAAAUAAAAUACGAAAGAGAAAAAGAGGACAGUAGGUCACAACGGGACUAGCCUUUCAAUCGAGGCAAUGGACGACAUCCAGCGGGCUUCGAGUCUUACGAUUCAGCUGCAAUGGGUGGAUUUUGUCGCUGUAUCUGCGUAAUACUGUAACAGAGUGGCCUACAUGCUUCUCUGCGCGAGACGAGACGCGACGAAAGAAAGAUCUGCAGUUUACACAUGCGAGAAUAUGGAGGGAAAUACUUUAUGGUAAAGAAAGAGCUGACGAAGAUCACCGUAUACCGCCUCCAGGGGCUCCAGGUUUACUCUCUCCGUACACCUUCGAGGCAAUCUCUCGUCGUUCUAAUCGGCGAGAAAGUUGGAUGAACUGUUCGUCGUGGAGCGGUGGACCAAU